GCCAGAGUGGCAUACUGGUUUGAGUGUUGGACUACAACUCUGGAGACCAAGGUUCAACUCCCUGUUCAGCCA